UACAGAGGGUGCGAGCGUUGUUCGGAAUUAUUGGGCGUAAAGGGCGCGUAGGCGGUGCGGUAAGUCACCUGUGAAAUCUCCUGGCUCAACUGGGAGCUUGCAGGCGAAACUGCCGUGCUGGAGUGUGGGAGAGGUGCGUGGAAUUCCUGGUGUAGCGGUGAAAUGCGUAGAGAUCCGGAGGAACACCAGUGGCGAAAGCGGCCACCUGGACUGUACCUGACGCUGAAACGCGAAAGCUAGGGAAGCGAACGGG
rnacentral:rRNA from 1 species